CCGCCACUGGCUCAGUCAGUAGAGCAUAAGACUCCUGAUCUCAGGGUUGUGAGUUCGAGCCCCACGUGGGGUG
rnacentral:tRNA from 1 species